rnacentral:rRNA from 1 species
GUAGGUGGCAAGCGUUGUCCGGGAAUUAUUGGGGCGUAAAGCGCGCGCAGGCGGUUCUUUAAGUCUGGUGUGAAAGCCCACGGGCUCAACCGUGGGAGGGUCAUUGGAAACUGGAGAACUUGAGUACAGAAGAGGAAAGCGGAAUUCCACGUGUAGCGGUGAAAUGCGUAGAGAUGUGGAGGAACACCAGUGGCGAAGGCGGCUUUCUGGUCUGUAACUGACGCUGAGGCGCGAAAGCGUGGGGAGCAAACAGGAUUAGAUACCCUGGUAGUCCACGCCGUAAACGAUGAGUGCUAAGUGUUAGGGGGUUUCCGCCCCUUAGUGCUGCAGCUAACGCAUUAAGCACUCCGCCUGGGGAGUACGGCCGCAAGGCUG